rnacentral:lncRNA from 1 species
UCUUGCUUAUAAAAGAGCUUAAUGCUCAUUUAUCCUAAUGAUUAUGAAGUAGCACAAUGCUUAUGAAAGAACUUGCUCAAAUGUCCAUGUUGCUUAUGAAAAGCGUCUAAUGCUCAGGUAUCACUCAUAGCUUGAUUCUCACAUGUCCCUACUGCUUAUGAAAGAGCUUAAAGCUCACUUAUCGUGUGGCUUAUGAAAGAGCCUAAAGCUCACUUGCCCUUGUUACUUAUAAAAUAGCAUAAAGCUCACUUGCCCAUGCUGCUUAUUGAAAAACUUUAAAGCUCACUUGUCCCUGUCAUUUGUAAAAGAACUUAAAGCUCACUUAUCCUCAUUGUUAAUUGAAGAGCUUAAAGAUAAAGCUCACUUAGGUCCCUCUGCAUAUUAAACACUAAAGCUCGCGUGUCCCUAUGGCUUAUAGAAAGCUUGAAGGUUAGUUGUCCCAGUCUCUUAUAAAAGAGUUUAAAGCUGACGCUCCCUGUUGCUUAUAAAAGAGAUUAAAAUAAUCUUGUCCAUGUCCCUAAUAGAACAUCUUAAAGUCACAUAAAAGAGAUGAGCUCACGUGUCCAUAUGGAUAUAAAAUAGCAUAAAGCUCAACGUUUCCUUCCCAUUUAUGAAAAAGCUUAGAGGUCACUUGUCUCUCUCGCUUAUAAAAGGGCUUAAAGCUCACGGGUCCCUGUUGUUUAAUAUAAGAGCUUAAAGUUCACCUUUCUCUGCCACUCGUAAAAGACCGUAAAGCUUACUUGCUCCUGCCGCUUAUAAAAGAGCGUAAAACUCACUUGUCCCUGUCAUUUAUGAAAGAGUUUUAACGAUCACUUGUUCCCAUCAUUAAUUAAAGAGCUUGAAGCAUAACGCUCACUUGUCCCUGCUGCUUAUUAAACAACAUAAAGCCCACUUGUCCCUCUGGCUUAUGGAAAAGCUUAAAGGUUGCUCGUCCCUGUCUCCUAUAGAAGAGUUUAAAGCUCAUGUGUCCAUGUUGCUACUAAAAUAACUUAAAGCUCACAUAACAGAGCAUGACGCUCACAUAUCCCGAUGUUGAUUAUAAAAGAGCUUAAAGCUCACUUGUCCUCGUCGCUUGCAAAAGAGCUUAAAGCUCACUUGUCCUCGUCGCUUGCAAAAGAGCUAAAGCUCACUUGUCCCCCAACGCCCCCGCUUAUAAAGAGCUUAAAAGCUCACUGUCUCUGCGCUUAUAAAGAGUUAAAGUUCUGGGGUCUGUAUAAAAGAGCUUAAAGCUCACUUGUCCCCUCGUUUAUAAAAAAGAGCAUAAAGGUCACAUGUCUUUAUCGCUUCUUAAAGAGCUUAAAGCUACUUGUCCCUAUGGCUUAUAAAAGAGCUUGAAGCUCAUUCGUCCUGCUGUUAAAAGAGUAUGAAGUUCACGUGUCCCUGUGGCUCAUAAAAGAGCUUAAACUUUGCUUCUCCCUGUAGCUUAUAAGGCGUAAAGAACUAUGUCAGUGUUCCUAUGGUAUAAAGUUUAAAGCUCACGUGUCCCUUCUGUUCACAGAAGAGUUUAGUGCUCAUGUGUCCCUCUUACUUACAAAAGAGCGCAAUGCUCAUGUGUCACUCCUAAGCAAGAGCUUAAUGCUCACAUGUCCCUGGUGCUUAUAAAAGAGCUUAAAGCUCAUGUGUCCCGGUUGCUUAUAAAAGUGCUUAAGACUCACGUGUCCUUGCUUAAAAUGCUCAUAACCCAAUGAUUACGAAAUAGCUUGAUGAUCAUGUGUGAAAGCGCUUGAUGCUCAAAUGUCCCUGUUGCUUAUCUAAAAACUUUCUCGAGUGUCCCUGUUGCAUAUGAAAAGAGCUUAAUGCGCACGUAUCCCUCAGAGCUGAUGCUCACAUGUCCCUCAUGUGUCCCUGUGGCAUAUGAAAGAGCUUACAGCUCACUUGUCCCUAUCAAUUAUAACAGAGCUUAAAGCUCACUUGUCCCUAUUCCUUAUUAAAGCGCCUAAAGCUUACGUGUUCCGUGUUGCUUAUAAAAGAGUUUCAAGUUUACUUGCCCCCAUCACUUAUAAAAGAGCUUAAAGCUCACAUAAAAUAGCAUGAAGCUCACUUGUCCUUGUGAAUUAUAAAAGAGUUUAGAGCUCACUUGUCGGUGUCGCUUAUAAAAGAGCUUAAAGCUCACUUGUCCCUACUUAUACAAGAGCAUAAAGCUACGUGUCCUGGUUGCUUGUAAAUAGCUUAUAGAUUCCUCUCUCUCUCUUAUAAAAGAGCUUAAACCUCACGUCUCCCUGUCACUUAUAAAAGAGCAUUCAGCUCACUUGUCUAUGUCUUAAAAGAGCUCAAAGCUCAUGUGUCCAUGUCCCUUAUAAAAGAGCAUGAAGCGCACGUGUCUCUGUGGCCUAUAAAAGAGCUUAAAGCUCACUUCUCCCUGUUGCUUAUCAAAGAGCUUAAAAGUUACUUGUCCCUCCCCAUUUGUAAAUGUCCCUGCGUUUAUAAAAUUGCAUAUAGCUCAUGUGUCCUUGAUGCUUGUAAAAGAGCUUAAAGCUCACGUGUCUAUAUCGCUUAUAAAAGAGCUUAAGGCUCAUGUGUCUCUAGCUUAAGGCUCAUUUGUAAAAAAGAGCUUAACGGCACAUGUUCUCUUGCUUAUAAAAGAGCUUAAUGCUCAUAUCCUAAUGAUUAUGAAGUAGCACAAUGCUUAUGAAAGAAUUGCUCAAAUGUCCAUGUUGCUUAUGAAAAGCGUCUAAUGCUCAGGUAUCACUCAUAGCUUGAUUCUACAUGUCCCUACUGCUUAUAAAGAGCUUAAGCUCACUUAUCGUGUGGCUUAUGAAAGAGCCUAAAGCUCACUUGCCCUUGUUACUUAUAAAAAGCAUAAAGCUCACUUGCCCAUGCUGCUUAUUGAAAAACUUAAAGCUCACUUGUCCCUGUCAUUUGUAAAAGAACUUAACUCACUUAUCCUCAUGUUAAUUGAAGAGUUAAAGCAUAAAGCUCACUUGUCCCUCUGCAUAUUAAACAGCAUAAAGCUCGCGUGUCCCUAUGGCUUAUAGAAAAGCUUGAAGGUUAGUUGUCCCAGUCUCUUAUAGAAGAGUUUAAAGCUCACGUCCUGUUGCUUAUAAAAGAGAUUAAAAUAAUCUUGUCCAUGCCCUAAUAGAACAACUUAAAGCUCACAUAAAAGAGCAUGUAGCUCACGUGUCCAUAUGGAUAUAAAAUAGCAUAAAGCAACUUUCUUCCCAUUUAUGAAAAAGCUUAAGGUCACUUGUCCCUCUCGCUUAUAAAAGGGCUUAAAGCUCACGGUCCUGUUGUUAAUAUAAGAGCUUAAAGCUCACUUUUCUCUGCCACUCGUAAGACCAUAAAGCUUACUUGUCUGCCGCUUAUAAAAGAGCGUAAACUCACUUGUCCUGUCAUUUAUGAAAGAGUUUUAACGCUCACUUGUUCCCAUCAUUAAUUAAGAGCUUGAAGCAUAACGUCACUGUCCACUGCUUAUUAAAGAGCAUAAAGCCCACUUGUCCCUAUGGCUUAUGGAAAAGCUUAAAGGUUGCUUGUCCCUGUCUCCUAUAGAGUUUAAAGCUCAUGUGUCCAGUUGCUUAUAAAAGAGAUUAAAUAAACUGUCCAUGUCCCUACUAAAAUAACUUGAAGCUCACGUGUCCCGAUGUUGAUUAUAAAAGAGCUUAAAGCUCACUUGUCCUCGUCGCUUGCAAAAGAGCUAAAGCUCACUUGCCCCCCCUCCCCCUCCGCCUCUUAUAAAAGAACUUAAAAGCUCACUUGUCUCUGCCGCUUAUAGAAGAGCUCAAAGUUCUGGGGUCUGUGUAUAUAAAAGAGCUUAAAGCUCAUGUGUCCCGGUUGCUUAUAAAAGAGCUUAAAGCUCACUUGUCCCUCUCGUUUUUAAAAAAGAGCAUAAAGGUCACAUGUCUUUAUCGCUUCUUAAAGAGCUUAAAGCUCACUUGUCCCUAUGGCUUAUAAGAGAGCUUGAAGCUCAUUCGUCCUGCUGCUUGUAAAAGAGUAUGAAGCUCACGUGUCCCUGUGGCUCAUAAAAGAGCUUAAAGUUUGCUUGUCCCUGUAGCUUAUAAAAGGGCUUAAAGCUGAAUGCUCAUGUGUCCUAUUGGCUUAUAAAAGAGUUUAAAGCUCACUUGUCCCUUCUGUUCACAAAAGAGUUUAGUGCUCAUGUGUCCCUCUUACUUACAAAAGAGCGCAAUGCUCAUGUGUCACUCCUAAGCAAGAGCUUAAUGCUCACAUGUCCCUGGUGCUUAUAAAAGAGCUUAAAGCUCAUGUGUCCCGGUUGCUUAUAAAAGAGCUUAAAGCUCACUUGUCCCUCUCGUUUAUAAAAAAGAGCAUAAAGGUCACAUGUCUUUAUCGCUUCUUAAAGAGCUUAAAGCUCACUUGUCCCUAUGGCUUGUAAAAGAGCUUGAAGCUCAUUCGUCCUGCUGCUUAUAAAAGAUUAUGAAGCUCACGUGUCCCUGUGGCUCAUAAAAGAGCUCGUCUCUGUAGCUUAUAAAAGGGCUUAAAGCUGAAAGCUCAUGUGUCCUAUUGGCUUAUAAAAGAGUUUAAAGCUCACGUGUCCCUUCUGUUCAUAAAAGAGUUUAGUGCUCAUGUGUCCCUCUUUACUUACAAAAGAGCGCAAUACUCAUGUGUCACUCCUAAGCAAGAGCUUAAUGCUCACAUGUCCCUGGUGCUUAUAAAAGAGCUUAAAGCUCACGUGUCCCGGUUGCUUAUAAAAGUGCUUAACACUCACGUGUCCUUGCUUAAGAAAGAGUUUAAUGCUCAUAACCCAAUGAUUACGAAAUAGCUUGAUGAUCACGUGAGAAAGCGCUUAAUGCUCAAAUGUACGUGUUGCUUAUCUAAAAACUUUCUCGAGGGUCCCUGUUGCAUAUGAAAAGAGCUUAAUGCGUACGUAUCCCUCAGAGCUGAUGCUCACAUGUCCCUCAUGUGUCCCUGUGGCAUAUGAAAGAGCUUACAGCUCACUUGUUCCUAUCAAUUAUAAAAGUGCUUAAAGCUCACUUGUGCCUAUUCCUUAUUAAAGCGCCUAAAGCUUACGUGUUCCCUGUUGCUGAUAAAAGAGUUUCAAGUUUACUUGCCCCCAUCGCUUAUAAAAGAGCUUAAAGCUCACAUAAAAUAGCAUGAAGCUCACUUGUCCUUGUGAAUUAUAAAAGAGUUUAGAGCUCACUUGUCGGUGUCGCUUAUAAAAGAGCUUAAAGCUCACUUGUCCCUCCCACUUAUACAAGAGCGUAAAGCUCACGUGUCGUGGUUGCUUGUAAAAUAGCUUAUAGCUGACUUGUCCCUCUCUCUCGCUCUCUUAUCAAAGAGCUUAAACCUCACGUCUCCCUGUCACUUAUGAAAGAGCAUUCAGCUCACUUGUCUAUGUCAAUUAUAAAGAGCUCAAAGCUCAUGUGUCCAUGUCCCUUAUAAAAGAGCAUGAAGCGCACGUGUCUCUGUGGCCUAUAAAAGAUCUUAAAGCUCACUUCUCCCUGUUGCUUAUCAAAGAUCUUAAAAGUUACUUGUCCCUCCCCAUUUGUAAAUGUCCCUGUCGUUUAUAAAAUUGCAUAUAGCUCAUGUGUCCUUGAUGCUUGUAAAAGAGCUUAAGGCUCACGUGUCUAUAUCGCUUAUAAAAGAGCUUAAAGCUCAUGUGUCUCUAUUGCUUAAGGCUCAUGUGUCCCUAUUGUUUAUAAAAGAGCUUAACGGCCACAUGUAUCUCUUGCUUAUAAAAGAGCUUAAUGCUCAUUCAUCCUAAUGAUUAUGAAGUAGCACAAUGCUUAUGAAAGAAUUUGCUCAAAUGUCCAUGUUGCUUAUGAAAAGCGUCUAAUGCUCAGGUAUCACUCAUAGCUUGAUUCUCACAUGUCCCUACUGCUUAUAAAAGAGCUUAAAGCUCACUUAUCGUGUGGCUUAUGAAAGAGCCUAAAGCUCACUUGCCCUUGUUACUUAUAAAAGAGCAUAAAGCUCACUUGCCCAUGCUGCUUAUUGAAAAACUUGAAGCUCACUUAUCCUCAUCGUUAAUUGAAGAGCUUAAAGGAUAAAGCUCACUUGUCCCUGCUGCAUAUUAAACAACGUAAAGCUCGCGUGUCCCUAUGGCUUAUAGAAAAGCUUGAAGGUUAGUUGUCCCAGUCUCUUAUAGAAGAGUUUAAAGCUCACGCUCCCAGUUGCUUAUAAAAGAGAUUAAAAUAAUCUUAUCCAUGUCCCAAAUAGAACAACUGAAAGGUCACAAAAGAGCGCAAUGCUCAUGUGUCACUCCUAAGCUAGCGCUUAAUGCUCACAUGUCCCUUGUGCUUAUAAAAGAGCUUAAAGCUCAUGUGUCCCGGUUGCUUAUAAAAGUGCUUAACACUCAUGUGUCCUUGCUUAAAAAAGAGUUUGAUGAUCAUGUGUGAUGGCGCUUAAUGCUCAAAUGUCCCUGUUGCUUAUCAAAAAACUCGCUCGAACUCGCACUAUUAAGAAUCAAAUUCUCUCAAUCCAAUUGGAAUAAUAGUCUAAAUAAUGAAUACCAUUAAUGAAUAUAUAUGAUGUCCCUAAUAGUAUUCUUUUAACCGAGAUUCUAUAAAUUUUAGUGCCAUGAGAAAAGCUCGCUGGAACUCCGCACGAUCAUGACUCAUGCACCAUUCGACACGGCUGGGCUGGAAUCAUUUUAAACCAUGCUUCCAGAGAAUGAUCUCCGUUUUCUGCCCAAGGGGAUGAAGAAAUGCGCGUUUGGAUUGCAAUCCACAAAGCUUCCGCGUGUGUUGUAGAUGAUGUAAAUAAGUCAAGUGGGAUUCUGCAAGCCAAGCUCGCUCUAACUCGUAUGAUUAUGACUCAACUCUACUCGAUUUGGUUGGAAUCCUUUACAAUGCCAACACAUAAAAUUUGUGUGAAAUAUAUCUAUAUAUACUUAUAAAUUAAUAAAACUGAGUCAGACUUUUCUGCAUAAUAUGUCAACCUUUAGCUGAUUUUCCAGCUGCAAAGUGAUGAAAAUUUUGGUAGCCUGACUUUUUUCCCCAAUGUAAAUCUGAUGCCUAUCAUCUUUUACAUAAUAAUGCUUAAUGUAUUCCAAUUUCAAUGUGAAGUCCAUUUGUCUUUAACCAAGCUUAAGCGCCAUUUUUAUGUUUAGAUGCAUCUGUUUGUACUAUAAAUAUCAAUUUUCACUAGUGCUUCUAUAGAGGAUGAAUCAUCUAAUAACAUAAGUGUCUUUGGUCUAACAAUUUUUAACGACAUAUAUUCAAAAGUUUCGUUUGGCAAUUUAAUUGUUGGAAGUAAGUAGUUUGUUCUCAUCUUUUUCUUCUUUUAUUCAUGUUUUUAAAAUCUUGUCGUACCAGAUUGAUUUAGAGGCUUGUUGAAAGAAGAAGAAGAAGAAGAAGAAGAAGGUUACAAAGAAGGCGGUACAACUUUGCAAUGAAAUUCAGGGAAAAAGCUAAAGUGAUAGCAGGGAAGGCAUUCAAGAGGUUUGAUAUGGAGUUGAGUGUCAUUUUGUAACUGCUUCUGCGCAUAAAGAUGUGCAAAAGAUAUUCCUGUAUUUCUUGAUUGUAUUGGUUUGAAAAUUCAGGCCACCCAAAAUCAUGGAUCAAUAACAUAAUUGCAUUGAAAUAGUGUUGAACCUUUAAUUAGGUAAUGACAAGGAAUGUUGAUGAAAUUCAUCCAUUGCUCUGUUGAACUGCAAGUAUAGGUGUCUUGAGAUUGAUUUGAUGGCUUCUAUAAGAGAAAGUUGUUUAAUUUAAUGUGCGAUUUGGGUAAAGUGUCAUUGACAUAAUAGUAGUUAAGUUGAUAAUUGAUUCUAGUAGAUUUUUGUGUUUGAACAUGGGAUCAACAAUAUGGGGAGAAUUAUAAAGUAUCUGUAUCUCGAAAGGUACAACAGCUCAUGUUAUCUUAAGACGUUUGAAAUGAUGCUGCUAAUAGUGAGUAUGAAUGUAUCAUAGAAUUAAAUAGUUAAGGCAACAUGAACAUGUAUAGAUCAUACCUCAUUUAAGUUAAACUUGUCAAGAAAAGGAUGCCUACUACAUAAAAAAUUUAUUUCCUCUACAAGGAAAGGAUUGUUUGCUGCUGCCCUCGCCGAGACAAUAAAAGGAGACAAGGAGGAGCUGAUGCAGUUCGGGCCGAGGAGACAAAAACUCGGAAAAUCUCAGGAUAAGGAGGUCAGAGCCGAAGUCAGGGUAAAUUGAUCAAGGUAUCGAGGCUCAAGCUGAGAAGCAGCCGAGGCAUCAGGUCGAAGAAGCGAUCGAGUCAAGGGCUGAGGCGAGUCGAGGAAAUCGAAGUUGAGCUAAGGCUCGACGAGUUUUGGUCCGUUGAUGGUGAAGGGUGUCGACGCGGCGACAUUGAGUUGUGUCGUAGGCUGGAGUGGUGAAGGAGAUCACGGCGUGACUAUGGCAGUUGUAGUCGUAGGAAAUCGAAGGAAUGAAGAAGAUUUAGAGAGAAUGUGGCCGAAGGCGGCGAUGGCACUGGGAAUCGAAGGAUGCGGCGGUGGCCUUUGGGGUAGUGUUUAUAUAUAUAUAUAGAGGUGCACUAAAAUAAAAACCAAGAUUAGCCUAUAAAAUAAGAGCCAAUGUAGGCCAUUGGAUUAUCUUAAUUGGACGGUCAGGUCUUGAUUUAAUUUUCUCUAGCUAAUUAACGUCAAUUUAGGUAAUAGGGUAGAUAUGUAAUUACAUAAUUCUAAUAACCACCUCACCCUUAUUAUAAGGGAUUACAUUUAAACCAAGAUUUAACAUUCCCUAAUAUAAAAUCUGUGUAACUAAUACAUGUUCCAGAAGGAGAAAAAUAAGAAAACCCUGCCAACAGAUUCAAGAACACGCCCAGAAAUUCAUGGAGGACACUAAUACGCAAUUUCACUAUUCACAAUUUAUAGAUAUAAUUCAUAUAUUUUUUUCACUAUGUUGACAUAGUUCAUGGGUUAUGUGGUAUUGUUCACUCAACAAAUAUACUACGACUAANCAUGUCCCUACUGCUUAUGAAAGAGCUUAAAGCUCACUUAUCGUGUGGCUUAUGAAAGAGCCUAAAGCUCACUUGCCCUUGUUACUUAUAAAAGAGCAUAAAGCUCACUUGCCCAUGCUGCUUAUUGAAAAACUUAAAGCUCACUUGUCCCUGUCAUUUGUAAUAGAACUUGAAGCUCACUUAUCCUCAUUGUUAAUUGAAGAGCUUAAAGCAGAAAGCUCACUUGUCCCUGCUGCAUAUUAAACAGCAUAAAGCUCGCGUGUCCCUGUGGCUUAUAGAAAAGCUUGAAGGUUAGUUGUCCCAGUCUCUUAUAGAAGAGUUUAAAGCUCACGCUCCCUGUUGCUUAUAAAAGAGAUUAAAAUAAUCUUGUCCAUGUCCCUAAUAGAACAACUUAAAGCUCACAUAAAAGAGCAUGUAGCUCACGUGUCCAUAUGGAUAUAAAAUAGCAUAAAGCUGAACGUUUCCUUCCCAUUUAUGAAAAAGCUUAGAGGUCACUUGUCCCUCUCGCUUAUAAAAGGGCUUAAAGCUCACGUGUCCCUGUUGUUUAAUAAAGAGCUUAAAGCUGACUUUUCUCUGCCACUCGUACAAGACCAUAAAGCUUACUUGCUCGUGCCGCUUAUAAAAGAGCGUAAAGCUCACUUGUCGCUGUGAUUUAUGAAAGAGUUUUAACGCUCACUUGUUCCCAUCAUUAAUUAAUGAGCUUGAAGCAUAACGUUCACGUGUCCCUGCCUGCUUUUUAAAGAGCAUAAAGCCCACUUGUCCUUAUGGAUUAUGGAAAGCUUAAAGGUUGCUUGUCCCUGUCUCCUAUAGAAGAGUUUAAAGCUCAUGUGUCCAUGUUGCUUAUAAAAGAGAUUAAAAUAAACUUG